UACGGAGGGGGCCAGCGUUGCUCGGAAUUACUGGGCGUAAAGGGCUUGUAGGCGGUCUGAUAAGUCCUGUGUGAAAUCCCUUGGCUUAACCAAGGAACUGCGCCGGAUACUGUCGGACUAGAGGCCGGGAGAGGGAAGCGGAAUUCCCAGUGUAGCGGUGAAAUGCGUAGAUAUUGGGAGGAACACCGGUGGCGAAGGCGGCUUCCUGGACCGGUUCUGACGCUGAGAUACGAAAGUGCGGGGAUCAAACAGG
rnacentral:rRNA from 1 species